rnacentral:lncRNA from 10 species
CAGGCCCAGGGGUACCAGGCAGACAGAGAACAUGGAGAUCGGAAGGCUUCACAACAGAUGGAAGUUACAGAAGAAGACCAAUUUGGGAUUGAUAGCAGGAAAACCUCUUUCUAAAUACAGGCAUCUGCACAUAAAAAGAUAGCCCACCCUACAGGAUUCAUGACUACAACCCCAAAAUACGGCACUUCUGCCUGUGUGGAAACAACAGAAGCAGGAAGAUUACUCUCAUUUUUCUCUGGCCUUUUUCCCUUGAAGCAGACUAUAAAGAAGAAUCUGACCUUCCUCUGAAGGAAACCUUCAUUCCAGACAUACCCUCCCUAUAUCCAAAGAACAUCUUUAUCUUUAAAGACACAGAGAUGUCAAGAAGAAUCUGAACAAACAGGCUUUGCCAGAUCCCCCAGUUUACUAAUAUUGAACCAUACUCUUUUGUUCUUCAAUCAUACUUCUGCAUGAUGUCCAUAAAAAUACACAGUUUUCCCCAUUCCUUUUGGGUAUUUAUUCCCGAAAGCUUCUGUGUCAUGUAAAACUUACAUUAAAUAAAUUUGUAUGCUUUU